UGCGGUAGCUCAGUUGGUAGAGCAAUGGACUGAAAAUCCAUGUGUCGGCGGUUCGAUUCCGCCCCACA
rnacentral:tRNA from 1 species